UCCGACAGCCAUGCCACCCUGAACACGCCCAAUCUUGUCUGAUCUCAGAAGCUAAGCAGGGUCGGACCUGGUUAGUACUUGGAUGGGAGACCACCUAGAAAGACCAGCUGCUGUAGGCU
rnacentral:rRNA from 1 species